rnacentral:rRNA from 1 species
UACGUAGGCAGCAAGCGUUGUUCGGAGUUACUGGGCGUAAAGAGUGCGUAGGCGGUUUCGUAAGUUUGGUGUGAAAUCUCCCGGCUUAACUGGGAGGGUGCGCCGAAAACUGCGGGGCUGGAGUGUGGGAGAGGUAAGCGGAAUUCCUGGUGUAGCGGUGAAAUGCGUAGAUAUCGGGAGGAACACCUGUGGCGAAAGCGGCGCACUGGACCACAUCUGACGCUGAGGCGCGAAAGCUAGGGGAGCAAACAGG